CACGUAGGGGGCGAGCGUUGUCCGGAAUUAUUGGGCGUAAAGGGCUCGUAGGCGGUUUGUCGCGUCGGGAGUGAAAACCAUGGGCUUAACUCAUGGCUUGCUUUCGAUACGGGCAGACUAGAGGUAUGCAGGGGAGAACGGAAUUCCAGGUGUAGCGGUGAAAUGCGCAGAUAUCAGGAGGAACACCGGUGGCGAAGGCGGUUCUCUGGGCAUGAUCUGACGCUGAGGAGCGAAAGUGUGGGGAGCGAACAGG
rnacentral:rRNA from 1 species